UGCAUUUGACUGUGCACGUGUGCAUUC
rnacentral:piRNA from 1 species